AACGAACGUUAGCGGCGCGCCUAACACAUGCAAGUCGAGCGAGAAAGGGCUUCGGCCCCGGUAAAGCGGCGCACGGGUGAGUAACACGUGGAUAACCUACCCCCUUGGUGGUGGAUAACCUUCCGAAAGGAGGGCUAAUACAGCGUAAGACCACGACUUCGAAAGAGGUUGAGGUAAAAAGUGGGCCUCUGUACACAAGCUCACGCCAGGGGAUGGGUCCGCGGCCCAUCAGCUAGUUGGUAGGGUAACGGCCUACCAAGGCGAAGACGGGUAGCUGGUCUGAGAGGAUGAUCAGCCACACUGGAACUGAGACACGGUCCAGACUCCUACGGGAGGCAGCAGUGGGGAAUCUUGCGCAAUGGACGAAAGUCUGACGCAGCGACGCCGCGUGAGUGAUGAAGGCCUCGGUUGUAAG
rnacentral:rRNA from 1 species